AGGUGAAAUUAUUUCGACAUUAAUCCACCAUAUCCCAUUAGAACUCUCCGCAGUUAAGCGUGUUUGGGCGAGAAUUAUACUAAAAUAGGUGACCUCUUAGAUAAAUCCUUGUGUUGUACAUU
rnacentral:rRNA from 2 species